UAAUAUUUAAAGAUCUUUUAUUUAUCUAUCUCACAUUACAUUGUGAGAGAAAGACAUCAUAUAACAUAGUCAAGAUGAAAAAAAACAUGUAAAACAAUUACUUUAAAUAUGACCACUCAUACAAUGGACAAUGAUUGAAAUGAAAAGUCAUUUGUUUUUCUGAGAAACACAGCUAUUAUUUCCAUCGUAAAUAAAAAAUAAAUAAAAAACAUGAUAAUAGAAAUAAUUGAAUCAUUUUAUGUAAUAAUUAAGCAGUUGUUCCAUUUUUGCUUUAAUUGUGACCUGGAAAAAGAGUUAAUCCAUCUUUCACUUUUUAAAAUUAUUUUAAAGUUGUUUUUUUUACAGUUAGUUUAUUCUGUGUUUAAAAUUGAUGCAUAUGUUAUGUUUAAUUUCCACAUUUUAACAUUAUCAAUUAUAAUACUUUACAACUCCAAAAAUAAAAUUAUUUUUUGGGCUUCUUUUAAAGAAACAAACCCGUUUUCACUUUUUGUAUCCAACAUUAUGAAAUUGUUAAGAGUCAGUACAUUUUAUAAUUUAUUCAUAUAUAUUGAUUUUUAACAAAUAUUUUAAGAAAAUCAAAGUCAUGAAAGCUCGUAUUACAGAUCCUAUAAACCUUUUCUUGAUAUGGAGUUCACAGCACUGAAUGCAAAUGGAUGUAUAGAAUUUAAAGCCACUAUAAAGAGUAAAGCUACAUUUUGCACAUACAAAUCAUAAUACAAAGAACAUCACAAACCGACACAUAUGAUUACAUAAAUUAACAAAAAACCUUAAAAUAUUAAUAACAUAAUAAAGAUAAUAAAACAGAAUAAUCUAACACAACAUUAACCUUAAUAAAUAAAUUUAACAAAAAAAAAAACACCCAACAGUAUAUAGAACUAUCUUAACAUUUGCCCUUGAAUCAAAAUAUUAAAGAAUGACCCAUCACUGAAUCCCACAACGGAUUAUGAGGGUCUGGAUGAAAUUUAAUAAAUAGAGAAAACUGGCAAAAAAAGAGAAAAAAAGAGAGAGAAUUGAGCAAAAAAACUAAAGAAUAGAAAAAAGGGGUAUUUGAAUAUAAAGAAUAAAUUAUAAUUGACAAAAAAACAAAGAAUAGAGAAAAUUUGCCUAUAUAAUAGUCUAUUUGCCAAUUCCCGUAAUUGACCCUGUAUUUAAAGAUUCCUUUUUAGUUGUCUCCCUUAUGGUCCGAGACCACAAUUAUUUUGUAGUGCAUUUCUUUUUAGACAAUAAAAGCAAAUUAAAAAAAUCCCACCUACUUUUGGGACAAAUUGUAUCAAAAUUAUAGAAAACUUCAUUGGCUCUCACUCAAAUAUGGACAAUUUUAUGUUAAGGGGUCUUUGAAAUCUUUUGACAGCUUCUGAAGUGCUAAUUUUUAACCUUUUUCAACUGGACCAAAUCACUACUUUACUUUAAAAUUCAUGACCAAAAUUAUUUGACAGUGUCAUUUCAUCCCUUGAUUUACUAUUUGAGGCAUAAAACAUGGAGAAAUGCAUUUGGAAGGGGUAUACAAAAAAUUGGCAUACCCAUUGAAAAUUCUAUCUUAAAACUUAAUCAAAAGUAAGGCAAAGUAUAUAAAACAUCAUAGAGAUUUACAGAAAGAAAAAAAAACAUCUAAGUAAAAACAGUAAAUAAAUAUAGAACUCUACAAAAACAACAUGGAUAU
rnacentral:lncRNA from 1 species